rnacentral:rRNA from 1 species
CCUACGGGUGGCAGCAGUGAGGAAUAUUGGUCAAUGGGCGCGAGCCUGAACCAGCCAAGUCGCGUGAGGGAAGACGGCCCUAUGGAUUGUACACCUCUUUUGUCGGGGAGCAAAAGACGCCACUCGUGGCGUUCCGAGAGUACCCGAAGAAAAAGCAUCGGAUAACUCCGUGCCAGCAGCCGCGGUAAUACGGGGGAUGCGAGCGUUAGCUGGAUUUAUUGGGUUUAAAGGGUGCGCAGGCGGAAGAUCAAGUUAGUGGUAAAAUUGCGGGGCUCACCCUCUUCGAGCCGUUGAAACGGGUUGUCGAGAGUGUGCGAGAGGUAGGCGGAAUGCGUGGUGUAGCGGUGAAAUGCAUAGAGAUCACGCAGAACCCCGAUUGCGAAGGCAGCAUACCGGUGCACAACUGACGCUCAUGCACGAAAGUGUGGGUAUCGAACAGGAUUAGAUACCCCAGUAGUC